AGCAGCCGCGGUAAUUCCAGUUCCAAUAGCGUAUAUUAAAGUUGUUGCAGUUAAAAAGCUCGUAGUUGAAUUUCGGGGUUAGCAAGUUGGUCGUGCCUUCGGUAUGCACUGGCUUUGCUGAUUCCUCCUUCUUGAAGAACUGUGAUGCUAUUAAUUUGGUGUUGCGGGGAAACAGGACUGUUACUUUGAAAAAUUAGAGUGUUUAAAGCAGGCUAACGCUUGAAUACAUUGGCAUGGAAUAAUGAAAUAGGACGAUCGAUCCUAUUUUGUUGGUUUCUAGGAUUGACGUAAUGAUUAAUAGGGAUAGUUGGGGGCAUUAGUAUUCAAUUGUCAGAGGUGAAAUUCUUGGAUUUAUUGAAGACUAACUACUGCGAAAGCAUUUGCCAAGGAUGUUUUCAUUAAUCAAGAACGAAAGUUAGGGGAUCGAAGACGAUCAGAUACCGUCGUAGUCUUAACCAUAAACUAUGCCGACUAGGGAUCGGAUGAUGUUAAUUUUA
rnacentral:rRNA from 1 species